rnacentral:rRNA from 1 species
GACGAACGCUGGCGGCGUGCCUAAUACAUGCAAGUAGAACGCUGAAGAGAGGAGCUUGCUCUUCUUGGAUGAGUUGCGAACGGGUGAGUAACGCGUAGGUAACCUGCCUGGUAGCGGGGGAUAACUAUUGGAAACGAUAGCUAAUACCGCAUGAUAUUAAUUGUCGCAUGAUAAUUAAUUGAAAGGUGCAAUUGCAUCACUACCAGAUGGACCUGCGUUGUAUUAGCUAGUUGGUGAGGUAACGGCUCACCAAGGCGACGAUACAUAGCCGACCUGAGAGGGUGAUCGGCCACACUGGGACUGAGACACGGCCCAGACUCCUACGGGAGGCAGCAGUAGGGAAUCUUCGGCAAUGGGGGGAACCCUGACCGAGCAACGCCGCGUGAGUGAAGAAGGUUUUCGGAUCGUAAAGCUCUGUUGUAAGAGAAGAACGGGUGUGAGAGUGGAAAGUUCACACUGUG